UCUCGAUUGGUCUAGUGGCUAGGAUACCUGCUUGUCACUCAUUCAUUCUUCCCCAGUUCUUCACGAUAGUGAGAAUCUAGGAGUCUUGGAAAAGUCCGCAGGUGGCCGGGGUUCGAUUCCCCGAUCGAGAG